rnacentral:rRNA from 1 species
GGCGAACGCUGGCGGCGUGCCUAACACAUGCAAGUCGAACGGGGUGAUUUCCUUCGGGAGAUCACUUAGUGGCGAACGGGUGAGUAACGCGUGAGAAACCUGCCUUUCAGUGGGGGACAACAGUUGGAAACGACUGCUAAUACCGCAUAACGUAUUUUUAGGGCAUCUUCUGAUAUCUAAAAGCCCUUCGGGGAUGCUUUGAGAUGGUCCUGCGGCGCAUUAGCUAGUUGGUAAGGUAGCGGCUUACCAAGGCGACGAUGCGUAGCUGAGCUGAGAGGCUAAACAGCCACACUGGGACUGAGACACGGCCCAGACUCCUACGGGAGGCAGCAGUAGGGAAUUUUCGGCAAUGGGGGAAACCCUGACCGAGCAAUGCCGCGUGAAUGAUGAAAUUCUUCGGAAUGUAAAAUUCUGUUGUAAGGGAAGAACUGUAUUAGUAGGAAAUGACUAGUAUUUGACGGUACCUUACUAGAAAGCCCCGGCUAACUAUGUG